CUGCUUGUGUGUGUGUCUGUGUGUGUGUACACUCAUGUGGGAGGCUACUCUUGGAGGUGCUGCGGCAGUGUAACUGUGGACACUGGAGAGAGGUUGUCCACACUGGAAAGCUGCAGAGCAGGAAAGAUGCUGCUGAGUGCCCCUGAGAAGGGACCCUGCGUGUGUCCUUCCCAGCCAGAGCACAGCCUAGAGGGAUGUGAUUGGUGAAGAAGGGUGUCACCACCAGCAAGGAUGGCCCUGGAGAACAGACAGGGCUGCUGGGUCCUGAAGCUAAGCAGAAGAGCCCUGGAUCAACAUCUGGAUGGGAGACAACAGCACUCUGCUACCUUCUCUACUUUACUCAUGGCAACAAGUGCUGGGGAAGCACUGGAAGGAGAGAGAGGCCAGCACAAGCUGUGGCCAAGCACAGCCCUGCGGAGCCCUAAAGACAGGCCACAUGGAUCUGGGCAUUUCACCAAGUUGCCCAAACUCAGAGUCUGGACUUCCACUGCGGGGAGAGGCUGGCUCUGCUCAGUGUUACCGCUACCUACCACAACCGGUCUCAGGGUCUGUACUGAGAUCAGGCCCUCUCGCCACACAGAUGAGCCUUUCCUCAGCAGUGAGCUUCAGAGCAUGGCUUGCUCCGAGAUGCUCCUGCCAUUGCCUGUUUUGAGGCAAUACUUGGAUGUAGUGCAGCUCCCUCCAAGCUGUCCUGAGGGCCAGGACACUGCUUGAACUGCAAAAAAAGCUCAAGAAGCAGCAGGAAAAUUUGUGCUCAUCUGCAAAGACGAAGCCGCUUGGGAGCAUUUGUGGCUAAAGGGAGGCACCGAAAGGCGACUUGGAGUUCGCCAGAGCCUUGGCCUGGCUCUUUCAGCUGAAGCGUUGCAUUAAAACUUGCCGGCUUGCAGGGAGCCCCCUAGCUGGGCUCCCACCCCAGCCACCUUCACCCAUGUCCACACUCUCCCAAGGCCUUCUUAACACCCCAUAUCUUUACCCAGUACCUACUGACGGCUUCCUUGGAGCAGGGACCCACAUUUGCUGCAGGAGCCCCAGGCACAUGCACUGCCCACUUUGCAGGCUGCAAUCCUGAGCGUGGCUUAUGCUGGGGGAAGUGGUGGUGUCACGUCCUUGCCAGGAGGGGACCAAGGUGCAGUGGGAGCAGCACGUGGGUGGCGAGCUGCAGAGGGUGAAGGCGACGGAGCACCUACUCUAAUGGGAUCCUCUCCACAAGUAAUUAAGCCUCAGCUAAUGCUAACCGUAAUGUGAUGUAUGUAUGCCUUUAACUAAUCAUUUAUUAGCCUCGUUGAUGGUUUGUCAAUAUUAAUUCAUUUAUUUAAACAACUCCAAGCUGUAAUGAAGAUGUUUGCUUUAAGGGGGAAAAAAGAGAUGGAGCUGCCAGGAGAUUUUUUGUUGACUCGAUGGAUGUCGCUCUGCUCUGGGUGAUGAGGCUGUGAUGGGAACGGUCCAGGCUCCUGGACCGCGUCCCCGUUCUCACAGCUCAUCCUUUCAUCAGUGGCUAUUUAACCAGCCCAUAAAUCUGUGGCAGGGAGGGGAAUAGGCCAGGACGGGCAGCGGGAAGCUGCCACGGUCCUUCCCUCCCCUGCAUCCACCCACCGUGUGUGCCUCCAGGUACCAUCUCGCAAAUAAGCUGUUAUUUCCCAUGAUGUCGCCUCUGCAGCUCCCUUGCUGCUCUCUGCAGGGUCUGGCAGCAGCAGACACCCCGGGGGUGAUUUUG
ensembl:lncRNA